AGGACGAACGCUGGCGGCGUGCUUAACACAUGCAAGUCGAGCGAACCUUCGGGUUAGCGGCGAACGGGUGAGUAACACGUGGGCAACCUGCCCCAAGCUCUGGGAUAACCUCCGGAAACGGGGACUAAUACCGGAUAUGACUCUUGAAGACAUCUUCUUGAGUGGAAAGUUUUUCGGCUUGGGAUGGGCCCGCGGCCUAUCAGCUUGUUGGUGGGGUAACGGCCUACCAAGGCGACGACGGGUAGCCGGCCUGAGAGGGCGACCGGCCACACUGGGACUGAGACGCGGCCCAGACUCCUACGGGAGGCAGCAGUGGGGAAUAUUGCGCAAUGGGCGAAAGCCUGACGCAGCGACGCCGCGUGAGGGAUGAAGGCCUUCGGGUUGUAAACCUCUUUCUAGCAGGACGAAGCGAAAGUGACGGUACCUGCAGAAGAAGCACCGGCCAACUACGCGCCAGCAGCCGC
rnacentral:rRNA from 1 species